rnacentral:rRNA from 1 species
CUUCGGCCCGAGUUGUAAUUUGCAGAGGAUGUUUAUGGUGCGGUGCCUACCGAGUUCCCUGGAACGGGACGCCACAGAGGGUGAGAGCCCCGUCUGGUAGGACACUAAACCUGUGUUAAACUCCUUCAACGAGUCGAGUAGUUUGGGAAUGCUGCUCUAAAUGGGAGGUAAAUCUCUUCUAAAGCUAAAUACUGGCCAGAGACCGAUAGCGCACAAGUAGAGUGAUCGAAAGAUGAAAAGCACCUUGAAAAGGGGGUUAAACAGUACGUGAAAUUGUUGAAAGGGAAGCGUUUAUGACCAGACUUGUGUCGUGUGGCUCAUCCGAGGUUCUCCCCGGUGCACUCCACGCGGCUCAGGCCAACAUCGGUUGUCGUUGGGGGAUAAGAACAGUACGAACGUGGCUCCCCUCGGGGAGUGUUAUAGCCUAUUGUACGAUACCCUGAUGGCGACCGAGGACCGCGCUUCGGCUAGGAUGUUGGCGUAAUGGUCAUUAGCGACCCGUCUUGAAACACGGACCAAGGAGUCGUCCAUUAGAGCGAGCGUUUGGGUGUAAAACCCGCACGCGUAAUGAAAGUGAAAUUAGGUGAGAGCUUCGGCGCAUCAUCGACCGAUCCUGAAGUUUACGGAUGGAUUUGAGUAAGAGUUUUAACGGACGGACCCGAAAGACAGUGAACUAUGCUUGAAUAGGGUGAAGCCAGAGGAAACUCUGGUGGAGGCUCGCAGCGGUUCUGACGUGCAAAUCGAUCGUCAAAUUUGAGCAUGGGGGCGAAAGACUAAUCGAACUGUCUAGUAGCUGGUUACCGCCGAAGUUUCCCUCAGGAUAGCAGUGUUGACCUUCAGUUUUAUGAGGUAAAGCGAAUGAUUAGGGACUCGGGGGCGCUUAUUAGCCUUCAUCCAUUCUCAAACUUUAAAUAUGUAAGAAGCCCUUGUUACUUAAUUGAACGUGGGCAUUCGAAUGUACCAACACUAGUGGGCCAUUUUUGGUAAGCAGAACUGGCGAUGCGGGAUGAACCGAACGGGGGGUUAAGGCGCCAGAAUGUACGCUCAUCAGACACCACAAAAGGCGUUAGUACAUCUUGACAGCAGGACGGUGGCCAUGGAAGUCGGAAUCCGCUAAGGACUGUGUAACAACUCACCUGCCGAAUGUACUAGCCCUGAAAAUGGAUGGCGCUCAAGCGUACUGCCCAUACCCCCCCUUCAGGGUAGAAACGAUGCC